rnacentral:misc_RNA from 1 species
UGGGUUUGACAUGCACCAGACAUCCCUAGAGAUAGGGCUUCCCUUGUGGUUGGUGUGCAGGUGGUGCAUGGCUGUCGUCAGCUCGUGUCGUGAGAUGUUGGGUUAAGUCCCGCAACGAGCGCAACCCUCGUUCCAUGUUGCCAGCGCGUAAUGGCGGGGACUCAUGGGAGACUGCCGGGGUCAACUCGGAGGAAGGUGGGGAUGACGUUUCCAGGUUAGG